GACGAACGCUGGCGGCGUGCUUAACACAUGCAAGUCGAACGGAGAAGCCCCUUCUUGCUUGAGUGGGUCAGUGGCGAACGGGUAAGUCACACGUGAGCAACCUUCCCCUGACUCUGGAAUAAGCGCUGCAAGCGGCAUCUCAUACUGGAAACGCGAACGGUCUGCAUGGGCACUUUCAGGUACGUUGGUCGGUUGGGGAUGGGCUCGCGGCCUAUCAGCUUGUUGGUGAGGUACUGGCUAACCAAGGCAACGACGGCUAGCCGGCCUGGGCGGGCGACCGGCCACACUGGGACUGAGACACGGCCCAGACUCCAACGGGAGGCAGCAGUGGGGAAUAUUGAACAAUGGGCGAAAGCCUGAUGCAGCGACGCCGCGGGGGGGAUGCCGGCCUUCGGGUGGUAAACCUCUUUCAGAGGGGAAGAAGCGGUAGUGACGGUACCUGCAGAAGAAGCACCGGCUAACUACGUG
rnacentral:rRNA from 1 species